UGGGGAAUAUUGCACAAUGGGCGCAAGCCUGAUGCAGCCAUGCCGCGUGUAUGAAGAAGGCCUUCGGGUUGUAAAGUACUUUCAGCGGGGAGGAAGGGAGUAAAGUUAAUACCUUUGCUCAUUGACGUUACCCGCAGAAGAAGCACCGGCUAACUCCGUGCCAGCAGCCGCGGUAAUACGGAGGGUGCAAGCGUUAAUCGGAAUUACUGGGCGUAAAGCGCACGCAGGCGGUUUGUUAAGUCAGAUGUGAAAUCCUCGGGCUCAACCUGGGAACUGCAUGCGAAACUGGCAGGCUAGAGUCUUGUAGAGGGGGGUAGAAUUCCAGGUGUGGCGGUGAAAUGCGUAGAGGUCUGGAGGAAUACCGGUGGCGAAGGCGGCCCCCUGGACAAAGACUGACGCUCAGAUGCGAAAGCAUGGGGAGCAAACAGG
rnacentral:rRNA from 1 species